UACAGAGGGUGCAAGCGUUAAUCGGAAUUACUGGGCGUAAAGCGCACGUAGGCGGUUAAUUAAGUUGGGUGUGAAAUCCCCGGGCUUAACCUGGGAACAGCACUCAAGACUGGUUGACUUGAGUUUGGGAGAGGGUGGUGGAAUUUCCGGUGUAGCGGUGAAAUGCGUAGAUAUCGGAAGGAACAUCAGUGGCGAAGGCGGCCACCUGGCCUAAAACUGACGCUGAGGAGCGAAAGCGUGGGGAGCAAACAGG
rnacentral:rRNA from 1 species